AGACAACAUGGAGGUCAGAGCUUUCUGCAUCAAACUUGACUGUGACAAUCCUCCUGUCCUGUGCACAGGAUCAUGAUGUUGAUGCAGCUUUUCUUCGUAUCUCUCCAAACAGACUGCAGUUCUUUGAAUAUGAGAUGGUCACUGUUUACUGUGAUGGAGUCUUUUACUGUGAUGUUGAACAUAAAUCGAUUAGGGAGAAGCCCUCGUGUUGCACCACUACUAACAGACUAUCAAGAGGACCUAACUGCACCACUAAAAACAUUUAUCAAGAUGACUCUGGAAAGUACUGGUGUGAAAGAGGAAUAGAGAGAAGUAACAUCAUCAACAUCAAUGUCACUUGUAUGUUUACAGUGAGGUAGUGAUAUUUUGUGAUUAUCUCAACAUGAUUUGCAAGAUAAUUAAAUAUGACUGUGUUCUUCAGCUGGUUCUGUAAUCCUGGAUAGUCCUGCUCUUCCUGUGAUAGAGGGAGAAGAUGUGACUCUGAGCUGCAGAACAAAAGAAUCUUCCUGCAACACCACAGUUGAUUUCUAUAAAGAUGGAGUCCUCAAAGGGAGAAGCUCCACAGGAUCAGAUUGAUCAUCAGAAAUGUCUCUGUCUGAUCAAGGAUUCUACAAAUGUAACAUCUCUGGAGUUGGAGAAUCACCACAGAGCUGGCUGACUGUUAGAGAAACUCUCACAGAACAUCGUCCCUCCCCAGAUCACAGCUGUCACAUUUACUCAAUCCUAAGGACUGUGUUCACCAUCAUCAUGGUGGUGCCGUUGCUGCUGCUGCUUGGAUGUCUUCACUGUGUAUUAGACAGACGUAUAAAACAUGACUCGGCUUCAACAGAAUAGAGCUGUUCUGUUAAAGAAAAACAUGGAUUAGAUAACAACCAACUAGUGAACAAAAUCUAUUUAAUGUAGCAGAGAUCAUGAAGUUAAUAUUUCAUCAUAUCUACUCUCACAUUUCACCCAGAAUUAAGGUUGUUACUGUCAAGCUACUUUCUAUGCUUCUGGUCCCAGAGCUAGACACUGUGACUGUAUCAGGAAAUGAUUGUGUUGCUGAGAAACUUGUUUAACAUGUCUGCAAAUGUGGUUUUUAAACCAUUCGCUCUGGCCAUACCGAGCCUGACGUAUGAUGUUCAAACUAACCACGACAUCUGAGCACUUCUAUUAAUUGAUGUUGGUUUGUAGAAACAUGUGAACGCUGACAGUGUGUCACCACCAUCAGGUAUCUUCAUCUGUUUGCAAUUUUGUAAAAAUAAAGAAAA